UACGUAGGGCGCAAGCGUUAUCCGGAAUUAUUGGGCGUAAAGAGCUCGUAGGCGGUUUGUCGCGUCUGCCGUGAAAGUCCGGGGCUCAACUCCGGAUCUGCGGUGGGUACGGGCAGACUAGAGUGAUGUAGGGGAGACUGGAAUUCCUGGUGUAGCGGUGAAAUGCGCAGAUAUCGGGAAGAACACCCGUGGCGAAGGCGGCUCUCUGGAACGCAACUGACGCUGAGACGCGAAAGCGUGGGGGAGCAAACAGG
rnacentral:rRNA from 1 species